rnacentral:tRNA from 1 species
GCCUCCGUGGUGUAAUGGUCAGCACACUCGGCGCGUAUUUCGAGAGGUCCGAGGUUCGAGUCCCAGGGAAGGCA